rnacentral:hammerhead_ribozyme from 1 species
AUCCAAAUGACAAAUCCAAAAUAGGAUGAAACGCGCGUCAAACUAGAU